rnacentral:lncRNA from 1 species
AUGACAACAAAGUCAAGGGAAGAUCAUGGAGUGAGAGGAAAAGAAAUCCUCAUUAAGACCUUGCACCAAAAAUUGGCUAUGAGAGAAGUGGUCACCAUGUGCAAAGGAAAGCAUUGUUUCAUAGAUGCUUCAUUCCUAGGACCUGAAGGAGUGAAACUUCCACCUAAGAUGUGAAGGCUCUAAGCAGACAUCGCUGCUCCAGGUGACAUGUAGUACUUGAGGGUCCAACUCCAGCAAUCCAGGACAGUGCCAGGAAAGAGAAAAAGACUAGGACCCUGGGUGGAGGAGAAGGAGACCCAAGGGAAAAGAAGGAAAGUCCUAGAUGUCUGUCUGAGGAAGAACCUGGGCUAAAAGGUGACUCAAUAUGAAAAGCAAAGAAAUGUUUUGCACCACAGACCUGUGCCUCACACUCAAGGUAGCAAAUCAGCACCUACUGUUAACACAAUAAAGGCAAAUCACAGAAGCA